UACGAAGGGAGCUAGCGUUGUUCGGAAUCACUGGGCGUAAAGCGCACGUAGGCGGAUGUGUCAGUCAGGGGUGAAAUCCCGGAGCUCAACUUCGGAACUGCCUUUGAUACAGCACAUCUGGAGUCCGGAAGAGGUGAGUGGAACUGCGAGUGUAGAGGUGAAAUUCGUAGAUAUUCGCAAGAACACCAGUGGCGAAGGCGGCUCACUGGCUCGGUACUGACGCUGAGGUGCGAAAGCGUGGGGAGCAAACAGG
rnacentral:rRNA from 1 species